rnacentral:rRNA from 1 species
CAGUGCCUGGUGGGUAGUUUGACUGGGGCGGUCUCCUCCCAAAGAGUAACGGAGGAGCACGAAGGUGGGCUAAUCACGGUUGGACAUCGUGAGGUUAGUGCAAUGGCAUAAGCCCGCUUGACUGCGAGAAUGACAAUUCGAGCAGGUGCGAAAGCAGGUCAUAGUGAUCCGGUGGUUCUGAAUGGAAGGGCCAUCGCUCAACGGAUAAAAGGUACUCCGGGGAUAAC